GUAGCAGAUUUUUUGAUAGUCGUAAUUAAAUAUUUUGGAUAGAUUUAAUUUUUGAAUGAAACACUUCCUUCUCGUUCAUUGCAUUAUCUGUUGCACUUCAAAUGCACAUAUUUAUGUUUAUCUGUUGUAGGGUUGCCAUACAACAAGUAUUAUUCGAAAUUGUAGGUAUUUUGGCUGUCAUUCCAGGAAAACUUUGUAUAGUUUUGAUAUACUUUAAGUAUUGAUUUUUGGAAAAUAUAAUAUUUUAGAGACAUGAUAACAAAUGUUAUCAUAGGUUUUUUAAGGCUGUUCUGGAAUGAUAUUUGUUAGGUUUUGUUUACUUCAAGGUCUGAUACAGAAACUGGAGUAAUUUUCAUUUAAUGAAUUAGAGUAUUUUAUUUUUUAUUCGUUUGCCACCCGGCUUUUGUUUUGGGUCCUUUAAAUUCGAGAUCAUUCAGUGCGCCGUUCUUUCUGUGACGAGAUCCUCUUGUAUAGUGAUCGGACGGCCGUAUAAGGGCCUGGAGCCCGGCAUGCCACGUGCUGCCGUGGCGUUCCAUAUUUUGUGUGGUGCGUUCUGUCAGUCUGACUGGCAGAAACAUGCUAAGGGUGGGAGUGCUCCUUGGAGAUCCUCGGUCUGCAGUCUGCAGGUCUCCGGAGUCGGGAAGAAGUAAAGAAUUAGAGAAUUGCAGAAGUAAAGAAUUUAACAAGAACUUUUGCAAUUUUGAUGUGCAAGGAAACUUCUUUGGCUUACUGGCGCAAGGUGUCUUUGGACCUUGUUUUCGUAUGGAAGGGUCAGCCCUGUCCACGUGGCGAGGGGGCGUCAGCACCGGAGUCCGGGGAGCAGCCGGCUCAUCCCUGACAAGGUGUGUCUCCUGCCCGUUUCCUGCCGGUAAUGCUGUGUAAUUCAGGUUUUUAAUUUCUGUGUAAAGUAAUUUCUGAUUUCAUUUAUUUUGAGAAUUCUGGUGCAUAACUUUAGGUAAAUUCAUAUUUAGUUUUUGUAGAAUAAAUGGUUGUAAGAAACCUUUUCCUGGACCCUCUUAAAGCGGCCCAGCUUUACCACUGAGCGUAGUUCUUAUUUCAUAUAUGGUGUCAAAUUUAGUAUUUUGGAAACAUUAACUUAAACCUAUCUGUAAGGCAAGAUUUUGGUAUAAUAAAUAUAUAAAAUGUGA